AGAAAUUAUAUUAAUUUAGAGGGCGGUAGGACCCUGGGGGUGCUUAUUUGAGGGGAUGCCUUCACCUGUCCUGUCGAUGAAAGUAUAACACAAGCAAUGGUGGAAAAAGUGUGAUUUUUUUUUGUAAGGUACACCCAUUAUCUCCUGUGCAAGGAGCUGCAACAGCCAAGUAUGCCCCUGCAAAGCGCCCGGUGACAGAUGGCGAGUUCUUCUCUCCCCCACCACCGCCGCCACCACCACCCCACCCACCCCAGGGGGAAAGCCAGUCUCUGUGAAUGCGGCCGCAUGUCAAUCACGGGCUCUCAUGUGAUGGCUCUUGCCAAUGACGUGCCAGCCAUAUGGGCCUGGCAUCACAGCCUGCUAUGCAAGUCACCCGUGCAGUCCUCCCUCCACGCGUCUGGGUCUGCAGACAGAGGCAGGGUGGCCGCAGAGGAGGAGGAGGAGGAGGAGGAAAGAGUAGAGGGAGGGAAGGUAGGCGAGAGCGGAACACACACACAGCAAAGAUCCGCCUCGCAGAACGCAUCGCCACCGCGCCCGGAGAGAGAUGGUGUAAACAAACCUCAGUCAUGCACAUUUUGCAGGAACAAAAGCGGAUUUAUUUGUGAAAUAGAGAAAUAUGAGUGUAACAGCAGGUCUGUGGGGGUUGAACUCUCCUCUGGGAUGCAUGCAUGAUAAUUGACAAGAUAUAUGCUGGCAUUAAUUACUUUAUGCUGAGGAUAUCAGGUAGCGGGGGGGAUGGAAGUGCACACUGGAGAGCAUCUCUUCAGAGAGUUGGCUUUAUAUUAAUUUAAUUUAAAUGAAAUGAUGUCAGAUGAUUUGUUUGCUAAUUGCGCAGACAAACAACUUGUGUUCCUCAUUCCUGCUUUUGAGGCACAAAUGACCUUCAGGAUUAAUAUUUUAAACACAUCCUCUAAGUCAUGGGUGUCCAAACUUUCCACCCAGAAUAUAUUUUUAUUUUAUUUUAUAAUUGUUUUAUUUUUUUCUAAUUACAUAUAAAGACCAAGCUUCAUGUUACUAUUAUUAUUAGAAGCAACAUUUAAGCUUUUUUGUUCUAUAUCUUUUGUUUGAUUUUAUUUCUGUACAAUGUGCCUUGAGCCAAUAAUAAAAAAGAACUCCCUGGGCCACUCUUUGGACACCCCUGUUUCAAAAGUUCCCCUCAUUUAUGGCAUAUUCUCAAGUAUCAUGUGGUCCACUUUUGUGGCUGUGGGCAACAGACUCAUUUAUUUGUCGCCACCCUAAACUACCACCAGGGACCUUUUCUCAGCGGCCCGGCGGCGCUCCUGCACGGGCCACACGGAACCAAACUGUUAAAAGGUUUAGAUUAAAAACGAUAUGGAUACGCACCAGCAAAAACAUCAGGUACAUCUGUAAAAGGCAAGUGUGCCCCAUUUGUCUACCUGCAGUGAGAAUGUGUGAGUUUAUUGAAAAAGGGGUUCAAAUUAAUUAAAUAUGAUAAUAAAUUACAUAUAUUUCAAGAAAAAUACUUUUUUUUCUCUCUGUAUAUUAUAUUUUGUUGCUCUUUUACCCCUUUUUUUAAUAUUUGCUUUAAUCAGUUAUUUUUAAUAGUGAUGUAAUCUUUCAAAUGUGCUGCUAGGCAAUAAAAAAUGAGCUGCAAGCCUAAAAUGGCCCCUGUGCUACACUUUGGAGCACCCCUUUAAAUUCAAACUUUAUUUCUAUAGCACAUAAAAAAAUACAAGUACAGAAACAGUUAAUAAUCAAUACAGCAAAAUGCAAAAAUAAAAGUGUUUUCUUUAUCUGUGUUAUAUGGGUGUGAAUCUUUGGACACUUAAUGGUUUGAUCUGAUUCCUGGGAUGGUGAUUCGAUUCAUAAUCGAUUCACGAGUCAACACGAGUUUCGAUUCAAAUAGACUCUCGAAAUAUAAUGACAUUUUUAAAAACAGGUUACAGGUAAGAAAUACUCCUGGUUGCUUAAAAAUGGUCAAAAAACUUUUUUUUUAAAAAGGGAUUCUGUAAGCUAAAGAAAUAUAUAUUUAUUUUUUUAAAUCAAUUUUUUUAAACGUAUGAAAUAUUUCAAUCAAAUUUUUUGUGCACCACAUGUUGAAAUCCAGCAAAGUUUGGAGCUGCAUCAAAAUGCCACCUCCGAUGAUUUGCAUUUUUGUUGACAUAUCUAAAAUAUUCCGAUCACUCAUUAGGUCAGUGGUUCUCAAA